UCGAACUUGGUUUAUUGGGAAACUUGCGUUUUAUGCUCAACUGAAAGAAAAAAGACUUUGUAGCCAUGGGUCAAACUUCUGAGUCCUUGUUGAGAAACUUAUGUUUUGUGCUCAACUGAAAAAGGACUUUUUAGUAUCUGGAGGAAUCUGGUGCCCUAUAUGUAGACUGUGGAGGAAGUUUUGUAAUUCCCUUUUGUCCGCAAAGAUCUACAUCUUGCCUUUUAUCU